CACUGUUUUUUUGGUUAACUGUAAAACAUCUGCUUCUGUAACCUCGUCACCUUCCAGAAAUCAAGCAGGCAAGUUUUGUAGAUAGUCAUAUAAAUGCACUAGGUUUUUCUGAAAUUGAGCAUAUUGAUAUUGUGCUGCAAAACAGUUUUGACCAAAAUACUUCACAUGAAAUGGAACAAAAUGACAAACACUACUGGCUAGUAUGAAAUGCACUUUGUAUGAAACUAGAGGAGCAUUUGAAAUGAGUUACUGCUGGCAAGCGAUGACACAUUUCAAGAUUUAUCAUGUGUAAUGUUCUCAAAUCAUUUCACAGUAACAUUAAACCUUGCAUCUGAUUUCAGAUGUUAUCUACAGACAGAAUUGUUUCUUGAUUUUACAUAAGUGUUAUUAAACAAUCCCCAACACUAAAAAUCUGAUUGACACUGAAGUAGUAUGUCAUAUAUUAAUUUUGCCUUCUUAAUCAUUUCAGCACACAUUCCUUUUUUGCCAAAGUCAUUAUUGUAAAUCCUUGGCACCACAUAGAAUGGGUUUUUAGUGAGGAAAAGGUUUAAUGUUUGCAUGCAUCUUAUGACGCGGCAUUGACCAGUUCUAGCAAUGUUGUAGGCUCCAUCACACUCGAGGCAGUUUGAUUCUGCUGGGUGAUGGAUAAUACUUGACCUCUUUUGAAUCAUUCCUGUUUUCAAACUUGUCCUCACAUCGUCUUCUCUCUCUCCCCACUGCUGUAUUUACGGGUCAUUCACCACAAUAUCUACAGAUACACAGCUUUAAACCUUCUGUAGUUCUGCAAACUGAGAUUUUGUACGGCUAGACCUGACACUCAAAAUACUGCAGAUCUGGUUUUAGGAUUACUUCUCCGUAGAUAAUGAUACAGUGAUGUAUACGGAUUUUCAUCAUCAUUUAGCGGUACUUCAAGUAGCCGAAUGGAUCAAUUCUGUGCUUUUUCUGGUUGCUUCCUGUUUUGAUAUCAUGACUGUUCCUCAGGAAUGAUUGAUUGUACAUUGACAGGAUUCUGAGGGAUGGAUUUCUGCAGCUAGCCUUGGAAUGUAAUUUGGUUUUGAAGUGAGAUGGUGUGGCAAAUGCAGAAUACUUCUUUGGACAGCUGGUUCAGCGUCUGCAGACUCAACUUCCAGCCUGUCAUGUGAUGAGCUCAGUUUCUGAUUUGUGCCCUCUUCUGAUCCUCAUUCUUUUCUUUUUUGCCUUGUUUUUAUUGUAUUAUUGAAAAUAAGAUAUGAGUCUUUAAAAUUAAACAGAUGCUUUAUUUUACAGAGAACAAAAAUAAUGAAAUUAUAUAUGUACAAAAUUACUUUUUCUGUAUAAAGAGAAUCAUAAUGAGAGAAUUUACUCUAUUUAUUCAAAGCUUGUUCUUAUUUUGUAAUGGCCGGUUCAAUCUAAUGAGAUGUAAAGAACUUUUUGAAGCCUACUAAGUAUUUAUGUCAUGCAAUAAAAUAAAUGAAGUUUUCUCAACAA